CCAGCCCCCCACCCCGCUCCCAUCUCCUCAUUCUUAGGGGUGGCUGCAGCUGGCUCCUCCAGCUGGGAUCUGGACUAGGGAACGGAGCAAGAUGUGCGGGGUCGAGUGAAGACUCUGGCAGAGCGCACAGCAGGCCAGGAGACGCUGGCGCCCCUGCUCCCAAGAAUACUGUCAGAUACUGAUUCUGACACCACCUGGAUGCUCACCUUUGGGAACCUAACCACAAUGUUGUCAGGAAAGAGGAAGCACAGUGGGCUUAGCUGUUUUUACGACAACUCCAGCUAAGGCCUUAGCUGACAACCAGCAUCAACUGGCAGACAUGAGUGAGAAAGCCUUCAGAGGAUUCUAGUCCCUAGCUUUCAGGCCACUGCAACUGACACUAAAUGGAGUACAAAUUAGCUCUCCCCAUUGAGCUUUGCUCAUUGCAGUUUCAUAAGCAAAAUAAAUGUUGUCAUUGUUUUAUGCUA